UUUAUAUAAAGAAAUUACACAGUUCCUCUUUGGUAACCUCAAUCCUGAAAGUUAGUGUGACAGGCCUACAGCUUUUUGUUCUCUUCAUCACUCCAGAAGUUGCAGACUGCGCUCAGCAAGACCUCACAACAUGGAGGAAAAUUAAAGAGAUAAGUGGUCCAUGGAGUAUCCCCUUACCCCACCAUAAAUUGGCAUAAUUUUGUGCACAAUCCAGGGAGAAGAAAAAGAAGACCAGAAGCUUGCAAACCAUUCGAGAGAAGGAAGGGAGCUUUGUCAUGUUGCCAUCUGAGGGACCAUUUCAGUAGAGCCUUUUAAGACACAUGUUUUGGAAUACAGUCAAAUGCGUGCUGCUGUAUGACCAGCCUAUUUGAUUAUGCCUCCAAAUCCUACAGAAGUAUAACAACCAUAGAACAGACAAACACCAACAGCAUCAACAACAGAGAAACUCAGUCCAGGAGGAUAUGAAACCCUUUGUAAUAAAGAAAGCAA
ensembl:lncRNA ROCR regulator of chondrogenesis RNA